rnacentral:rRNA from 1 species
GACAGAGGGUGCGAACGUUGUUCGGAAUUACUGGGCGUAAAGCGCAUGUAGGCGGCAGCGCAAGUCGGGCGUGAAAUCCCACGGCUCAACCGUGGAAGUGCACUCGAAACUGCGCAGCUAGAGUCCUGGAGAGGAAGGUGGAAUGCUUGGUGUAGAGGUGAAAUUCGUAGAUAUCAAGCGGAACACCGGUGGCGAAGGCGGCCUUCUGGACAGUGACUGACGGCUGAGAUGCGAAAGCGUGGGGAGCAAACAGGG